rfam:Neotoma lepida isolate 417 scaffold_4513, whole genome shotgun sequence.
ACUUUUAUAGGAUAAUAGUAAUCCGUUGGUCUUAGGAACCAAAAGCUUGGUGCAACUCCAAAUGAAAGUA